GUUAAUUUUAGUUUAUUUGUAAUUUCCAAUUAACUUUUUUUUUUUUUUUAGUUGAUGACUAUAAUUAACUUUGUUAUUUGCAUUAAUUAAUAGUCAUUUCAAUGAUAUAAGAUACUUUAAACCAAUAUUUCCUUCUCUUUCUGAAACACAUUUUGAUACAGGUUUUUGGUACAAAAGAAAAGUCUUGAAACACAGCUUAGGCCAGGGUUUUUUUAAUUUAUUAGUUUACAGACUUUUCACAUGAAAAAAUAGGGUCUGUCUGUCCUAAAAAAAAACACUGUUUCAACACAGAAAAAAUAUGUGUAAAAAAAUAUAUUUCACCUUACUCACAAUAUGUUUGGUAUGCUAUUUUGUCAUCAUUUCUUCAAUUCUAGUUCCAUGAAAUAUUAUUGCUCAGCUUUUAUAAACUGUUAUAAAAUGCAUGCCAUCGUCAUACAAUUUCCAAAAAGGGGGGGGGGGGGUUAUGUCUAUGGACAAUGACCAAAUUAAAUCGUAAUUUCACAAACAAGAAAAUACAGAGCUGCAUAGCUUUUUAUCAAUUUCAGGAAACUUGGUGAAUGAUAUUCAAGCACGAAAACUUAUAUUAUAAAAUUGCAAACACUUUGUACGAAAUUAAGCUUUACCAUUCGUGUCAAAAACAUAAUGGACUCCUCAACUGGAAAGACGAGGAUAUCAGAUUCAAUGCAUUCCAGUUUUUGAUAUCCAAAUGGACAAAUUUUUUUUAUUAUCUAUGAAACAUGAAAAUUCUAAAUUAUUUGUGAAUAUUUUCUACUUUAACUUGACGUCUUCGAAUUCGACAUUUGGAAAAGGUCCAUUUCAUCUAUGAGAUGAUACAUCUUACAGAAUUAUAACAAAACAGGGAAACGAAAUUAUUGUAAUGGGUUUUAAACACAGGUUUCGCUCAACAAAAUUAUUUGUGCUAACAACAUUUCAAGGUCAGGUAUGAUUGACUUGUCUAUUUUUAGAUAUGUAAACAUACAUAUGUUUUUUUGAAUUUUCAUUUUUUCACAUCACAAUGUGAUAUCAAUUACGAUAUUUAAAAAGGGUUUAAAUGCACUUCAUUUUAUUAAAAAGAUAAUUUUAUAUUUCGAGGAUAAUGUAUUUGUUAGGGUCGGUGGGAAUAAAAAAGCACAAAAUGCCACAUUUAUUUUUAUUUUCUGCAAAUCAGAAAAAUAGGGUUGGCGGAUCCUUUAACCAUCAAAUUAAAAAAACCUGGCCUUAUUAUUAUAUAUAGGUCAAAGUUAUGAAUAUAUCUAAAAGAAGGAAAAUGAACACAAAAAAAAUAAAAAUUUAAAAGUGUGAAAAAAUUAUUUUCAAUUAUGGCG
rnacentral:lncRNA from 1 species